rnacentral:rRNA from 1 species
UACGUAGGGACCAAGCGUUGUUCGGAUUUACUGGGCGUAAAGGGCGCGUAGGCGGCGCAAUAAGUCACUUGUGAAAUCUCCGGGCUUAACUCGGAGCGGCCAAGUGAUACUGUUGUGCUAGAGUGCAGAAAGGGCAAUCGGGAAUUCUCGGUGUAGCGGUGAAAUGCGUAGAUAUCGAGAGGAACACCUGAGGCGAAGGCGGGUGCUAGGCUGACACUGACGCUGAGGCACGAAGGCCAGGGAGCAAACGGG